AUGAACGCUGGCGGCGUGCCUAAUACAUGCAAGUCGAGCGCACAGACGAGGAGCUUGCUCCUCUGACGUUAGCGGCGGACGGGUGAGUAACACGUGGAUGACCUACCUAUAAGACUGGGAUAACUUCGGGAAACCGGAGCUAAUACCGGAUAACAUGUUGAACCGCAUGGCUCAACAGUGAAAGACGGUCUUGCUGUCACUUAUAGAUGGAUCCGCGCCGCAUUAGCUAGUUGGUAAGGUAACGGCUUACCAAGGCAACGAUGCGUAGCCGACCUGAGAGGGUGAUCGGCCACACUGGAACUGAGACACGGUCCAGACUCCUACGGGAGGCAGCAGUAGGGAAUCUUCCGCAAUGGGCGAAAGCCUGACGGAGCAACGCCGCGUGAGUGAAGAAGGUCUUCGGAUCGUAAAACUCUGUUAUUAGGGAAGAACAAAUGUGUAAGUAACUAUGCACGUCUUGACGGUACCUAAUCAGAAAGCCACGGCUAACUACGUG
rnacentral:rRNA from 1 species